rnacentral:rRNA from 1 species
UACGGAGGAUGCGAGCGUUAUCCGGAUUUAUUGGGUUUAAAGGGUGCGUAGGCGGCUCUUUAAGUCAGUGGUGAAAUCCUGUCGCUCAACGAUAGAAUUGCCAUUGAUACUGAAGAGCUUGAGUUCAGUUGAGGUAAGCGGAAUGUGUAGUGUAGCGGUGAAAUGCUUAGAUAUUACACAGAACACCGAUUGCGAAGGCAGCUUACUAAACUGACACUGACGCUGAUGCACGAAAGCGUGGGGAUCGAACAGG